GCUUCAGUAGCUCAGUGGGUAGAGCCUGAGACUCUUAAUCUCAGGGUUGUGGGUUUGAGCCCCAUGUUGGGCC